CCUUUCGCGGUCGCACUCAAAUCACCCAAGCACAUUUGGUGUAUGUGCUUGGCUGAGGAGCCAAUGGUGCGAAGCUACCAUCUGUGGGAUUAUGACUGAAUGCCUGUCAGAAUCCCCCCUAAACGUAACGAUACCAUAGCGCCACGGAUCUUCGGUUGGCCCGGGAUAGCCUGCCUUUUUUGGCAGGUGAGUAGAGCCGUUCGUGACGGGGUUGGGGUGCGUCCGGAUGAGUUGCCGCCCCUCUCCUGAUGCGCACUUCAUGUUUAUGGGGAACCUGGUGCUAAAUCACUCGUAGACGACCUGAUUCCGGGUCAGGGUUUCAUACGUAGCAAAGCAGUUCACUCGCUGCGAUCUAUUAUAAGUCAGCCCUCGAUCCAAACUUUU
rnacentral:ncRNA from 1 species